GUGCAUAAACGCACAAGCUAUAUCUCUAACAUAAUUUUUAAGCGCCGUAAGGAAGUCUACGUUGAAAAAGAUGUCUGAUUCUGCGGCGGGUGCUGAAAAACUUGAGGAGGCAGUUGUGGAAAGCGCCAAGGCUGAAACUGCUGCUACUGAGGGCCUAACUGCAACUGACGUACAGGAAGAAAAUACUGUUGUGAAAACUGUCCCUGUAGAGACUGCCCUCGUACAAGACGCGACUGAGGAGAGCCUCGAGAGAAAGAUCCCUCCUGCUGAAGAGUCCAUCGCUAAUGCCGCAAGUGAAGAGGUGAAAGAGGAACACCCAGUUAUAGUGGGUUCGGAGGCUGCCCGAAUUCCUGCUGAGGCUUUUGCAGAAGCUCCCACAGCCGCUACCGCAAAGGUUCCCGACGAGUCGCCUGAUCAGGAAGCAAGUACCAGCGGUGCCGUAUUGACUGCUGAGAGCCCAAAGACAGAAACCACCUCUCCCAGCACUCCCCGAAAGCCGCAAAAGGCUGCCUUCAAUAUCGACGCAAAGCCGUUCUCCCCUGUAUCCCUUAGCGAUCCGGCACUGCAAGCAACUUUGGUUGGCGAAGCUAACGGGCUCUCGAUUAAAAUUGGCCAGUGGAGCCCGCAGCCAUUUGUUCCUAUCGCACACCUGUCGCCAACAGCCCCCGUGAAUGUUGGCCAUAUACCGUAUGUUUCACCUGCACUUCCUCCAGCACCGGCGGUAAAAAAGGAGACCGCGACCGGGAAAGAUUCGCUGUCCGCUUACGCGAAACCAUGGAGCCCGCAUCCCGAGGUCACGGUAACUCCUGUAGUCGCCGGUGAGAACGAAGUUGCUAUUCAUCCAGGCUCGUGGUCAGCUACGACUGUUGAUGGAAAGGAAGUUAUAACUCCUUCUCCGAUGGUACCGAGGAAAUCGAGCACAAAUUUGUUUGCACACUCGUUCUCCAUUCACCCCAAGGGUCUCAAGAGUGUUGAGCUCGAGCUGUUUAACUACGCCUGUGCAAGGUGCACACUGAGGACCUUGUACGGGCGACUCUCGUCGCGCCAGCCGGAUGUAACAAUGCGAAAUGUCAGCGUGGACGUUCCGCCACUCUGCAUUGCGCACCUCAUUGAGCAGAUCACCAAGGCGAAGGUGACAGCUUUGCACUUAAAUGAGUCGGAAGGACCGCAUUACGACAUAUGGUUAGACAAGCCGAAUCUUUCAACGCAGCUUGUAGAGUUUAUAUCCGGAAGCUUGUGGGCGACACCGAUGCACCAUGGGUAUGCUGUCAUGGGGAAAAAUGAAGAAGGCAAGCGUUAUCUUCGAAACUACGUUGAAAGGCUGAGGGACUCGAAGCCUCCGGGGCCGAAUGUGUACGAUGUUGCGUUGGUGGAAGUGAAGGAGCAUUAGGUUACUAGUUAGUAAGCUUCUUCAACGUUGUUUUUUUUUUCGUCUUGCUCUUCUAGCUCUGCUGACGGAGAACACCUUUCCGUGCGUGGCAUCUCAGGGUCCAGCACCCCCACUGUGUGAGGAAGCCAGGCGGUCCCUCUGUCCCUGCCAAGUGCAAGAGCCACUUCCGGCGGUCACAGGGCCGAGCGCCUGCGACGUGGCGAAGUCAGGGCGCCUCAUCGCCACCGAUGCCGACGGCCACACCCUCGACGGCGUGGCGUCGGAGCGACCCGAGACCGCGAGCACGCCUGCACCAUCCAUACGAUCGACGAGGCGCCAGCGCGACUCGAGCACAUCCCGCCCCGCCCUCGCCGCCCACCGGUGGAGGGAGCCUGCGCCACCGCGGGAGAUGCACCACGCGGCCACCGGCACAAAUGGGGAGCGGCUGUGAGGCGGCACUGCAAGGCGGGUGGGUGGGGAGGGCUCGAGGCAGAGGCCGUGCUGCGAUGCCCGAGUUGGCGCAGUGCCGCGCCGGCGUGUGUCUACGGCUGCUUCGCGCCACGCGACGGGUGGCCUGUGGCAGGGCAGGGUCGGCGGCUCGAGAGUGGAACGGGACCUCAUGUUGUGUGGCCGAAUGGACACGCAAAGAAAAAAAUUGUUGUUGUUCUCAAUGUUGGUAUUCUUGUCAUGUGCUUGGUGUACAAA
rnacentral:misc_RNA from 1 species